rnacentral:rRNA from 1 species
AGCAGCCGCGGUAAUUCCAGCUCCAAUAGCGUAUAUUAAAGUUGUUGCAGUUAAAAAGCUCGUAGUUGAAUUUCGGGAUUGGCGCAUCGGUCGUGCCUCACGGGGUAUGAACUGGUGCAGUCAAUUUCUCACCUUCUGGAGAACCGCGAUGUCCUUAAUUGGAUGCCGCGGGGAACCAGGACCUUUACUUUGAAGAAAUUAGAGUGUUUAAAGCAGGCAUUUUUGCUUGAAUACAUUAGCAUGGAAUAAUAAAAUAGGACGGCAUGGUUCUAUUUUGUUGGUUUCUAGGACCACCGUAAUGAUUAAUAGGGAUAGUUGGGGGCAUUAGUAUUCAAUUGUCAGAGGUGAAAUUCUUGGAUUUAUUGAAGACUAACUACUGCGAAAGCAUUUGCCAAGGAUGUUUUCAUUAAUCAAGAACGAAAGUUAGGGGAUCGAAGACGAUCAGAUACCGUCGUAGUCUUAACCAUAAACUAUGCCGACUAGGAAUCAGACGAUGUUAAUUUUUAAUGUACUCGUUUGG